rnacentral:rRNA from 1 species
CCUACGGGGGGCAGCAGCCGCGGUAAUACAUAGGGAGCAAGCGUUAUCCGGAUUUAUUGGGUGUAAAGGGUGCGUAGACGGGAAAUUAAGUUAGUUGUGAAAUCCCUCGGCUUAACUGAGGAACUGCAACUAAAACUGAUUUUCUUGAGUACUGGAGAGGAAAGUGGAAUUCCUAGUGUAGCGGUGAAAUGCGUAGAUAUUAGGAGGAACACCAGUGGCGAAGGCGACUUUCUGGACAGUAACUGACGUUGAGGCACGAAAGUGUGGGGAGCAAACAGGAUUAGAUACCCCUGUAGUCCUCGUCA